GCACAGGGAGGAUGGAGAAGCUGGAAAUGUUCCCCCCAACCCAGCUCCAUCCCAGGAUGGUUACUCUCCUCCCCCAGCCCCAUCAUCACAGCAGUGAGAGCACAUCCCACUAGUUACAGCUGUGGAAGCUCGAUGGAGCUUAGCACCUCUGAACAUCUUCUUGCAGGUGUUGGAAACUUCAGCAACGAGAAACCAAAGUGACGUGCAGAGGCUCUGAUUAACUGAAUGGCUCAGCUUCCUCCAGGUUGCUCCCAGGAGGCAGGCCCAUGUUGGCAGAGCCUCCCCAGCAUCCUCCGACAGAAGGUAACCUCCUGCCUGUCCCCUCAGCAGCAUCUCUGAGGGCACAAGGAGCCCUUGCUGCCAGCCUGGCUCUGUGGUUAGCUCACAUAGCAAGGUCAGGCAGCAGGGACAUAAUGUGAGAGUGCAUAUGCUUUAUACAUAUACCUGUAUAAACCACCUAUGAUGGGUUUUGCCCCAUGCUCAGUGCACAGUCCAAACUGGAAGACUCAAACACCUGUUACAGGAGAUGGAGACUUAAAUGAACAGUAAGAAGACCACUUGAUAAAAAUCACACAGCCUGGUGGGUACACCAAAAACAGGUGGAAGAUAAUCCUUUGUGGAAAAUGAUCCUUCUCCCACAAACAUCUGAGCAAACAAUGGUAGUGUGAGAAGGACUGUCUCAUACAAUGGAGCUUCAAGUUUGCUCACAAAAACAUCUGUCUGUUGAAAGCACUCAGAACUCACACUCUCAAUCACAUUAGAGUUUCUUCCUCCUACACGUGUCUUAAAUCUAGUGAUGCAACCAUCGGUGCCAAACUGCAAAAGAAAACUCUCUGGAAGACCUCUCUAUGAGGAAAACACAACUUUUGUUUUUAAGCAACUAGAGUUAAAAAAUACACCUACAGAAAAAUAAAACUACCAAAAAAAAAUA